rnacentral:rRNA from 1 species
UCGCGAAAACUUUGCAAUACACGAAAGUGUGACAGGGCUAUCCCGAGUGCCAUCCGCUGAGGAAGGCUUUUACCCAGUCUAGAAAGCUGGGAGAAUAAGGAGAGGGCAAGUCUGGUGUCAGCCGCCGCGGUAAUACCAGCUCUCCGAGUGGUGUGGAUGUUUAUUGGGCCUAAAGCAUCCGUAGCUGGCCAAGUUAGUCCCCUGUUAAAUCCACCGAAUUAAUCGUUGGUGUGCGGGGGAUACUGCUCGGCUAGGGGACGGGAGAGGCCGACGGUAUUUUCGGGGUAGGGGUGAAAUCCUAUAAUCCCGAGAGGACCACCAGUGGCGAAGGCUGUCGGCUAGAACGCGCCCGACGGUGAGGGAUGAAAGCUGGGGGAGCGAACCGGAUUAGAUACCCGGGUAGUCCCAGCUGUAAACGAUGCAGGCUAGGUGUUUGGGCGGCCACGGGCCGCUCUAGUGCCGCAGGGAAGCUGUUAAGCCUGCCGCCUGGGGAGUACGGUCGCAAGGCUGAAACGUUAAGGAAUUGGCGGGGGA